UACGUAGGGGGCAAGCGUUGUCCGGAAUCAUUGGGCGUAAAGAGCGUGUAGGCGGCUCGAUAAGUCUGCUGUGAAAGUCCAGGGCUCAACCCCGGAUCUGCGGUGGGUACGGGCAGACUUGAGUGCAGUAGGGGAGACUGGAAUUCCUGGUGUAGCGGUGAAAUGCGCAGAUAAUCAGGGAGGAACACCGGUGGCGAAGGCGGGUCUCUGGGCCGUAACUGACGCUGGAGGAGCGAAAGCCAGGGGAGCGAACGGG
rnacentral:rRNA from 1 species